GCAGAACGCGAAGAACCUUACCUACUCUUGACAUCUAGCGAAGAUUGCAGAGAUGCAGUUGUGCCUUCGGGAACGCUAAGACAGGUGCUGCAUGGCUGUCGUCAGCUCGUGUUGUGAAAUGUUGGGUUAAGUCCCGCAACGAGCGCAACCCUUAUCCUUAGUUGCCAGCACGUAAUGGUGGGAACUCUAGGGAGGCUGCCGGUGAUAAACCGGAGGAAGGUGGGGACGACGUCAAGUCAUCAUGGCCCUUACGAGUAGGGCUACACACGUGCUACAAUGGUACGUACAGAGGGAGGCAAGCUGGCGACAGUGAGCGGAUCUCUUAAAGCGUAUCGUAGUCCGGAUCGCAGUCUGCAACUCGACUGCGUGAAGUCGGAAUCGCUAGUAAUCGCAAAUCAGAAUGUUGCGGUGAAUACGUUCCCGGGUCUUGUACACACCG
rnacentral:rRNA from 1 species